rnacentral:rRNA from 1 species
UACGUAGGUGGCAAGCGUUGUCCGGAUUUACUGGGCGUAAAGGGCGUGCAGGCGGUUUGUUAAGUCUGCUGUGAAAGCCCCGGGCUCAACCUGGGAAUGGCAGUGGAUACUGGCAAGCUGGAGUGCGGUAGAGGGUAGUGGAAUUCCCGGUGUAGCGGUGAAAUGCGUAGAGAUCGGGAGGAACACCAGUGGCGAAGGCGGCUACCUGGACCAGCACUGACACUGAGGCACGAAAGCGUGGGGAGCAAACAGG